AAGAAUUUAAGUUAAAUAAACUAGUAACCUUCAAAGUUUCUUAUAGAAUAAUUAUAAUUCUAAUUCUUA
rnacentral:tRNA from 1 species